ACCAACUAUAUCCACUUGCUCCUGAAAUUCCCUCUGUCCUGCUGAGUUGCAUCACUACUGUUAGUCCUGAUCCUCAGGCAGUGGAGAAAGCGUUUGCAGUGCCAAAUGGAUUUUACUGGCAGACAGUUGAAACUGAUGAAAAAUACUUCCCUAAUAGCAGCAACAUUGAGGCUUGCAGCAACACAGACACUGAGGUUGCCAUGGUAUUGCUGUUUGAAACUCUCCUCCGAAGUUCCCUAGCUACCCAUCACAUGUUGCAGCUGGUACUCAGCUCUGGUCUGGAUGUCUGCGGACUCCGCCUGCUCUAUCCUCAGCAUGAUGUGCUGCUCUCUAGCUCAGAAAAACUGCCUUCUUCCUAUGCUUCAGAGACGGGCAUGGUGCCACCAGUGCUGGCUUUGGGCGUGAGAGGGCCCUAAAGCACGUAGCGCCUUGCAGAAUAUCAUGGGGCCAGUCCGACCCGCAGCUGGCUGGCGUGACAGACUGCACUUCCAUCAAUGCCAUCUACUGCAGGAGCCAAGCAGAGCCUCUCGUCUACCUGCCCCAGCUGGACAGCCGCGUGCACAGGGAGCUGUGCCUCUGGUUCGGAGGGAGGGCUGCUCAUGCAGCACUGCAUGGUGGUGUCCUAGAUCCAGCUUCCAGAUGCAACAGAGUGAGGUCUCAGAGUCCUUCAUCAACUAGAGCAGAAGCAGAUGAAGAAAACGUUCAUCUCCAGGACAUGGCGCAACCUCGACCUCCAGCGAUGCUUGUCUCAACUUCCAAAGGGGACAUUAUUUUGAUGGUGUCGCCUGUGGUAUCUCCUCAUGCAUGUGGUAAUGUGAUCUCAGGUCUGUACUCAGUCGGGGGUUUCUUCUGCAAGGAAUCAGACGGCUGCAGCUUUCACCCAAGCAAGCCAUUGUGCUGAGCAUGACAACAAGUCAGGUACCGGUCAGAACAUACAGCUCACUUGUAUGCUUUGGGUUACCAUUUCUGAAACUUAUUAUACUGUGGGUUUAUGGAUGUGUGAACUGACACACUCCUGUAGUGAGUGUUCUUGAGUGUUCUUCUCUCUUCAUUAUCUCUACUAGCUAGCCAGCAC
rnacentral:lncRNA from 1 species